rnacentral:rRNA from 1 species
AUGCAAGUCGAACGGUGACAUCAGAGCUUGCUCUGGUUGAUCAGUGGCGAACGGGUGAGUAACACGUGAGUAACCUGCCCUUGACUCUGGGAUAACUCCGGGAAACCGGGGCUAAUACCGGAUACGAGACGCGACCGCAUGGUCGGCGUCUGGAAAGUUUUUCGGUCAAGGAUGGACUCGCGGCCUAUCAGCUAGUUGGUGAGGUAACGGCUCACCAAGGCGUCGACGGGUAGCCGGCCUGAGAGGGCGACCGGCCACACUGGGACUGAGACACGGCCCAGACUCCUACGGGAGGCAGCAGUGGGGAAUAUUGCACAAUGGGCGAAAGCCUGAUGCAGCGACGCCGCGUGAGGGAUGAAGGCCUUCGGGUUGUAAACCUCUUUCAGUAGGGAAGAAGCGAUUGGGUUCUCUUAGUCGUGACGGUACCUGCAGAAGAAGCGCCGGCUAACUACGUGCCAGCAGCCGCGGUAAUACGUAGGGCGCAAGCGUUGUCCGGAAUUAUUGGGCGUAAAGAGCUCGUAGGCGGUUUGUCGCGUCUGGUGUGAAAACUCAAGGCUCAACCUUGAGCUUGCAUCGGGUACGGGCAGACUAGAGUGUGGUAGGGGUGACUGGAAUUCCUGGU